rnacentral:lncRNA from 1 species
UUCUGCACCAACUCAGCCUGUGCUGCCUGUUCUCCCAGCAGCACUUACUGCCCCACCUUCAGCUCUGCUCUGUAUUCAGGGGCUGCCUUCUCAGUCACCCAACCCCAGAGGCCUGGGCUCCCCAGACCCUGCUCCCUUUUAGGAACCUCCUCCCCGUCGGACACUCAUUUCCUUCACUUUACAGAAAAGGCACUGAAGGCAGAGAUCAGGGCAUGGCCCAAGCUUGCUCAGCCAGAGGCAGAGCUGAGAUUCUAGCCUGGACAGCCUGACUCCAGGGCUUUUGCUCUUACCCACCAGGUUUCCCCAUCUCCCCUAAAACACAGCAGGGCACAGCGGUAUGCUAGACCUGGCUCAACAUAGCAGACCAUGCACAUCUCGAAACUCUGCAUUCAGUGGCAUCAUGCUGGUAUCCUGAAAUCAGCAGCAGUGGGAGUCUUGACACCCAGAAAUUGGCAAGCACUACAAGCCAGGGAUGUUUUUGGGGAGCCGGUUCCUUAGGACACCACUAGCUGGGGGAUGAACCCAGGCUGCCUGACUGCAGUGCCUUCAUUCCUUUCCACUACCAGGCCCAGCUCAGGGUGCACACGGCCCAGGGGAUCAACAAACCUUGGUUCCAGAUGGGCCCUUGCACAUUUUGCCUCUUUGCCUUUUUCAUUCCAGGGCCAUCCAGUGUCAGCCAAGUCACCAGAGCCCGGGGAUGUUGUUGUCGAGGAAUGAACACUUCUUCCUGGUUGCUGAACCACUUUCAAGGCCCACUCAAGCACAGAAAUGCACAGGCCCUGCCAUCUGCCUCCUCAUCCACACCACGUGGGAGGCUCCUCUUGUCACAGCCUGGGUAACAAAGCGAGACCCCAUCUAUACAAAAACUUGGCUGUGGUGCUACGCACCUGUAGUUGGUCAAGGCUGCAGUGAGC